rnacentral:rRNA from 1 species
GUCCUAGCGGUAAACGUUGUGCACUAGGUGUGGGGCCCCGGACGAGGGGCUCCGUGCCGCAGCGAAAGCAUUAAGUGCACCACCUGGGGGAGUACGGCCGCAAGGCUGAAACUCAAAGGAAUUGACGGGGGCCCGCACAAGCGGUGGAGUAUGUGGUUUAAUUCGACGCAACGCGAAGAACCUUACCUGGGCUUGACAUGCUUAGGACCGGAGUGGAAACAUUCCUUUCCCGCAAGGGACCUUUGCACAGGUGCUGCAUGGCUGUCGU